rnacentral:lncRNA from 1 species
GGAUCAAACUCGGGAACUUGCACUUGCCAGACAGGCGCUGGAACCACUGAGCUAAAUCCCCGGGCCUUAAACUUUUAAGAUGCAGGUUUAUCUGGUGAAGAGUUCUGGAAGGAGCAUGACAGCAUCCUUUCCUGUAUGGGGUUCUCUGCGAAAUAUCCUGGGCCAGUGUAGUCCUUUCUCUCUAAGGACACUGAGAUCUGCCUGUACACAGGGGAGAGACUUUGAAGGCUGCGGAGAGGGGCCUGAGUCUUCAGUUGACCAACUUGACUUACAACCAGCCCUGGCGAAUGAAUUGAGUACUCUACCAGGGAUCAUACUCGGGACCUUGCACUUGCGAGGCAGGUGGAGGAACCACUGAGCUAAAUUCCCGGCCCACUACUGAGAGCUUUUUAGAAA